rnacentral:rRNA from 1 species
AUUGAACGCUGGCGGCAUGCUUUACACAUGCAAGUCGAACGGUAACAGGGUGCUUGCACCGCUGACGAGUGGCGAACGGGUGAGUAAUGCGUCGGAACGUGCCGAGUAGUGGGGGAUAACGCAGCGAAAGUUGUGCUAAUACCGCAUACGUACUGAGGUAGAAAGUGGGGGACCUUCGGGCCUCACGCUAUUCGAGCGGCCGACGUCUGAUUAGCUAGUAGGUGAGGUAAAGGCUCACCUAGGCGACGAUCAGUAGCGGGUCUGAGAGGAUGAUCCGCCACACUGGGACUGAGACACGGCCCAGACUCUUACGGGAGGCAGCAGUGGGGAAUUUUGGACAAUGGGCGAAAGCCUGAUCCAGCCAUGCCGCGUGUCUGAAGAAGGCCUUCGGGUUGCAAACUGCUUUUGUACGGAACGAAAAGGUUUGGCCUAAUAAGCUGAGCUCAUGACGGUACCGUAAGAAUAAGCACCGGCUAACUACGUGCCAGCCGCCGCCGUAA